UCUUUGCUAGUAUAUCGGUUAGUACACGCGCUUGUCAUAGCUGUAUAAAGAAUCGGUGCGCGCGAAAGCUGGGUUCGACUCCCAGGCAGAGAG